GGGUGAGUAACACGUGGGUAACCUGCCCUUAAGUGGGGGAUAACAUUUGGAAACAGAUGCUAAUACCGCAUAAAUCCAAGAACCGCAUGGUUCUUGGCUGAAAGAUGGCGUAAGCUAUCGCUUUUGGAUGGACCCGCGGCGUAUUAGCUAGUUGGUGAGGUAACGGCUCACCAAGGCAAUGAUACGUAGCCGAACUGAGAGGUUGAUCGGCCACAUUGGGACUGAGACACGGCCCAAACUCCUACGGGAGGCAGCAGUAGGGAAUCUUCCACAAUGGACGCAAGUCUGAUGGAGCAACGCCGCGUGAGUGAAGAAGGCUUUCGGGUCGUAAAACUCUGUUGUUGGAGAAGAAUGGUCGGCAGAGUAACUGUUGUCGGCGUGACGGUAUCCAACCAGAAAGCCACGGCUAACUACGUGCCAGCAGCCGCGGUAAUACGUAGGUGGCAAGCGUUAUCCGGAUUUAUUGGGCGUAAAGCGAGCGCAGGCGGUUUUUUAAGUCUGAUGUGAAAGCCCUCGGCUUAACCGAGGAAGUGCAUCGGAAACUGGGAAACUUGAGUGCAGAAGAGGACAGUGGAACUCCAUGUGUAGCGGUGAAAUGCGUAGAUAUAUGGAAGAACACCAGUGGCGAAGGCGGCUGUCUGGUCUGUAACUGACGCUGAGGCUCGAAAGCAUGGGUAGCGAACAGGAUUAGAUACCCUGGUAGUCCAUGCCGUAAACGAUGAAUGCUAGGUGUUGGAGGGUUUCCGCCCUUCAGUGCCGCAGCUAACGCAUUAAGCAUUCCGCCUGGGGAGUACGACCGCAAGGUUGAAACUCAAAGGAAUUGACGGGGGCCCGCACAAGCGGUGGAGCAUGUGGUUUAAUUCGAAGCAACGCGAAGAACCUUACCAGGUCUUGACAUCUUUUGAUCACCUGAGAGAUCAGGUUUCCCCUUCGGGGGCAAAAUGACAGGUGGUGCAUGGUUGUCGUCAGCUCGUGUCGUGAGAUGUUGGGUUAAGUCCCGCAACGAGCGCAACCCUUAUGACUAGUUGCCAGCAUUUAGUUGGGCACUCUAGUAAGACUGCCGGUGACAAACCGGAGGAAGGUGGGGAUGACGUCAAAUCAUCAUGCCCCUUAUGACCUGGGCUACACACGUGCUACAAUGGAUGGUACAACGAGUUGCGAGACCGCGAGGUCAAGCUAAUCUCUUAAAGCCAUUCUCAGUUCGGACUGUAGGCUGCAACUCGCCUACACGAAGUCGGAAUCGCUAGUAAUCGCGGAUCAGCACGCCGCGGUGAAUACGUUCCCGGGCCUUGUACACUCCGCCCGUCACACC
rnacentral:rRNA from 1 species